AAUGUGGACAAACACAGAAGGCCAGAUAUCAUUUUUAAAGCAUGCAAUCUCUGCCCCUGCUACUAUUUUUACAUUUGCACAUAGUUCAAGGCUGCUGGCACUUCCGGACUUUGCAAGUCUUAUUCCAGGUAAUCAUGCUUGGUCUUGCCUUGACCUUCUAGAGGAGAACCACGACAGUGGCAAGGAGGUCUAUUAGGAUGCAUUCUUAUAAUUUAUUUACUAAUGUUUGUUGCA